rnacentral:rRNA from 1 species
GACGAACGCUGGCGGCGUGCCUAACACAUGCAAGUCGAACGGUGAAGCGCCUUCCUUUUUGGUGGGUGUGGAUGAGUGGCCGACGGGUUAGUAACUCGGUAGUAACCUGCCUCCUUCUUCUGGAUAACCGCAUGAAAGUGUGGCUAAUACGGGAUAUUCUGUGUCUGUCGCAUGAUGGGUCUGGGAAAGAUUUUGUUUCGGAGGGGGAUGGGCUCGGGUCUUAUCAGCUUGUUGGUGGGGGGAUGGCCUACCAAGGCGUAGACGGUUAGCCGGCCUGGGAGGGUGGACGGUCACGGUGGGACGGAGAGACCGCCCAUACUCCGGCGGGAGGCAGCGGGGAUGAUUGGUGCACGGGGGGAGCAAGACUGAUGCAGCGACGCCGCGGGAAGGAUGGAGGCCGUCUGGUUGAGACCCUCUUUCGCCAGUGAAGCGGGCCUGCCUCGUUUGUGGGUGGUUUGACGGUAGCUGAAUAAGAAGCGCCGGCUAACUACGUG